rnacentral:rRNA from 1 species
UACGGAGGGUGCAAGCGUUAUCCGGAUUCACUGGGUUUAAAGGGUGCGUAGGUGGGUUGGUAAGUCAGGGGUGAAAUCCCGGAGCUCAACUUCGGAACUGCCUUUGAUACAGCACGUCUUGAGUCCGAUAGAGGUGGGUGGAAUUCCUAGUGUAGAGGUGAAAUUCGUAGAUAUUCGGAAGAACACCCGUGGCGAAGGCGGUUCUCUGGGACGGUACUGACGCUGAGACGCGAAAGCGUGGGGAGCAAACAGG